rnacentral:rRNA from 1 species
GACGAACGCUGGCGGCGGGCCUAAUACAUGCAAGUAGAACGAGUUGCGAACGGGUGAGUAACGCGUGGUAACCUGCCUCAUAGCGGGGGAUAACAAUUGGAAACGAUAGCUAAUACCGCAACUGUGAGAUGGACCUGCGUUGUAUUGGCUAGUUGGUGAGGUAAAGGCUCACCAAGGCGACGAUCCAUAGCCGACCUGAGAGGUUGAUCAGCCACACUGGGACUGAGACACGGCCCAGACUCCUACGGGAGGCAGCAGUAGGGAAUCUUCGACAAUGGACGUAAGUCUGAUCGAGCCACGCCGCGUGUAUGAAGAAGGCCUUCGGGUUGUAAAGUACUUUCAGCGGGGAGGCGUUACCCGCAGAAGAAGCACCGGCUAACUCCGUGCCAGCAGCCGCGGUAAUAC